rnacentral:lncRNA from 1 species
UAUGGUUUGUAACAAGUGGUAUCGAAGAAAGGUUCUAGGACAUCCCUUGAAUACGAGGCUUAGUGUUACAUGAGACUUAGAUAAAGUUAUAAAAGAUAGUGAAAUGCCUCUAAGUUAGAAUUUCAUAGAUAUAAGAAAUGCCAAGGAUACUGAGAGAGCAAACACAUCAUGUUUUGGAAGACUGGAUCGAGUAGAGUCUAGAUAGAUUCAUGAGUAUAGUCGAAGGCUUGGCUACGGUGGUAGGUUAACACGUAGUUCACGGCCAAAGUGCUAUUAACAGUAAUAAUGCUAAUACCAGUAACACCCAGCCGAUUGAGAAAAAUAAUAAAAAACUCAUAAAAAGAUUCAUGAGGAGGAAUCCACCACCAUUUGCUGGUGUAACCAAUAUGAUAUUAGACGAGUAGUGGAUAAUGGAGUUGGAUAAUAUGUUCGAGGUUUUCAACCCCACUUCAAAGCAAAAGGUACAAUUAGCCACAUUGAUGUUCAAGGGAGCUGCAGAAUGCCGAUAGCAACUGAAGAAGGGAGCCCUAAAGACACCGAUCCUUUAGGAAGCAUUUGGAGCGGCAUUUUACGAGAAGUAUUUACCUGAAUUUAUUUGAGAACAUAAGCAAAUGAAGUUCCUAGAGUUAAAGUAAGGGAAUAU